UACGUAGGGGGCAAGCGUUGUCCGGAUUUAUUGGGCGUAAAGAGCGUGUAGGCGGCUUUGCAGGUCCGCUGUGAAAACUCGAGGCUCAACCUCGAGCUGUCGGUGGAAACCGUAAAGCUAGAGUCCGGAAGAGGAGAGUGGAAUUCCCGGUGUAGCGGUGAAAUGCGCAGAUAUCGGGAAGAACACCCGUGGCGAAGGCGGCUAUCUGGACGGUUUCUGACACUAAGACUCGAAAGCGUGGGGAGCAAACAGG
rnacentral:rRNA from 1 species